UCCCUGGUGGCUUAGAGGGUAAAGCGUCUGCCUGCAAUGCAGGAGACCUGGGUGCGAUCCUGGGUCGGGAA
rnacentral:tRNA from 1 species